rnacentral:rRNA from 1 species
ACGGAAGGCAGCAGUCGGGAAUAUUGCACAAUGGGGGAAACCCUGAUGCAGCGACGCCGCGUAAAGGAAGAAGGUCUUCGGAUUGUAAACUUUUGUCGACAGGGAAGAAGAAAGUGACAGUACCUGUGGAGGAAGCCCCGGCUAACUACGUGCCAGCAGCCGCGGUAAUACGUAGGGGGCGAGCGUUAUCCGGAUUUACUGGGUGUAAAGGGCGCGUAGGCGGAACUUUAAGUCUGAUGUGAAAUACCAAGGCUCAACUUUGGAACUGCAUCGGAAACUGGAGAUCUAGAGUGUGGGAGAGGAAAGCGGAAUUCUCAGUGUAGCGGUGAAAUGCGUAGAUAUUGAGAGGAACACCGGUGGCGAAGGCGGCUUUCUGGACCAUAACUGACGCUGAGGCGCGAAAGCGUGGGUAGCAAACAGGAUUAGAUACCCUGGUA